rnacentral:rRNA from 1 species
ACUUGCUUUCUUUGCUGGCGACCGGCGCACGGGUGAGUAACACGUAUCCAACCUACCCUUUACUCGGGGAUAGCCUUUCGAAAGAAAGAUUAAUACCCGAUAGCAUAAUGAUUCCGCAUGGUUUCAUUAUUAAAGGAUUCCGGUAAAGGAUGGGGAUGCGUUCCAUUAGGUUGUUGGUGGGGUAACGGCCCACCAAGCCUUCGAUGGAUAGGGGUUCUGAGAGGAAGGUCCCCCACAUUGGAACUGAGACACGGCCCAGACUCCUACGGGAGGCAGCAUG